GACGAACCGUGCGAACGUUGUUCGGAAUCACUGGGCUUAAAGGGCGCGUAGGCGGGCUGUCAAGUCAGGGGUGAAAUCCCACGGCUCAACCGUGGAAGUGCCUUUGAUACUGAUGGCCUCGAGGGAGGUAGGGGCGUGCGGAACUUCCGGUGGAGCGGUGAAAUGCGUAGAUAUCGGAAGGAACGCCGGUGGCGAAAGCGGCGCGCUGGACCUCUUCUGACGCUGAGGCGCGAAAGCCAGGGGAGCAAACGGG
rnacentral:rRNA from 1 species